AAAUUGAAGAGUUUGAUCAUGGCUCAGAUUGAACGCUGGCGGCAGGCCUAACACAUGCAAGUCGAACGGUAACAGGAAGCAGCUUGCUGUUUCGCUGACGAGUGGCGGACGGGUGAGUAAUGUCUGGGAAACUGCCUGAUGGAGGGGGAUAACUACUGGAAACGGUAGCUAAUACCGCAUAACGUCGCAAGACCAAAGAGGGGGACCUUCGGGCCUCUUGCCAUCGGAUGUGCCCAGAUGGGAUUAGCUAGUAGGUGGGGUAACGGCUCACCUAGGCGACGAUCCCUAGCUGGUCUGAGAGGAUGACCAGCCACACUGGAACUGAGACACGGUCCAGACUCCUACGGGAGGCAGCAGUGGGGAAUAUUGCACAAUGGGCGCAAGCCUGAUGCAGCCAUGCCGCGUGUAUGAAGAAGGCCUUCGGGUUGUAAAGUACUUUCAGCGGGGAGGAAGGGAGUAAAGUUAAUACCUUUGCUCAUUGACGUUACCCGCAGAAGAAGCACCGGCUAACUCCGUGCCAGCAGCCGCGGUAAUACGGAGGGUGCAAGCGUUAAUCGGAAUUACUGGGCGUAAAGCGCACGCAGGCGGUUUGUUAAGUCAGAUGUGAAAUCCCCGGGCUCAACCUGGGAACUGCAUCUGAUACUGGCAAGCUUGAGUCUCGUAGAGGGGGGUAGAAUUCCAGGUGUAGCGGUGAAAUGCGUAGAGAUCUGGAGGAAUACCGGUGGCGAAGGCGGCCCCCUGGACGAAGACUGACGCUCAGGUGCGAAAGCGUGGGGAGCAAACAGGAUUAGAUACCCUGGUAGUCCACGCCGUAAACGAUGUCGACUUGGAGGUUGUGCCCUUGAGGCGUGGCUUCCGGAGCUAACGCGUUAAGUCGACCGCCUGGGGAGUACGGCCGCAAGGUUAAAACUCAAAUGAAUUGACGGGGGCCCGCACAAGCGGUGGAGCAUGUGGUUUAAUUCGAUGCAACGCGAAGAACCUUACCUGGUCUUGACAUCCACGGAAGUUUUCAGAGAUGAGAAUGUGCCUUCGGGAACCGUGAGACAGGUGCUGCAUGGCUGUCGUCAGCUCGUGUUGUGAAAUGUUGGGUUAAGUCCCGCAACGAGCGCAACCCUUAUCCUUUGUUGCCAGCGGUCCGGCCGGGAACUCAAAGGAGACUGCCAGUGAUAAACUGGAGGAAGGUGGGGAUGACGUCAAGUCAUCAUGGCCCUUACGACCAGGGCUACACACGUGCUACAAUGGCGCAUACAAAGAGAAGCGACCUCGCGAGAGCAAGCGGACCUCAUAAAGUGCGUCGUAGUCCGGAUUGGAGUCUGCAACUCGACUCCAUGAAGUCGGAAUCGCUAGUAAUCGUGGAUCAGAAUGCCACGGUGAAUACGUUCCCGGGCCUUGUACACACCGCCCGUCACACCAUGGGAGUGGGUUGCAAAAGAAGUAGGUAGCUUAACCUUCGGGAGGGCGCUUACCACUUUGUGAUUCAUGACUGGGGUGAAGUCGUAACAAGGUAACCGUAGGGGAACCUGCGGUUGGAUCACCUCCUUACCUUAAAGAAGC
rnacentral:rRNA from 3 species